UACGUAGGGUGCGAGCGUUUAAUCGGAAUUACUGGGCGUAAAGCGUGCGCAGGCGGUUCGUUAUGUCCGAUGUGAAAGCCCCGAGCUCAACUUGGGAAUGGCAUUGGAAACUGGCGGGCUGGAGUGUGGCAGAGGGGGGUGGAAUUCCACGUGUAGCAGUGAAAUGCGUAGAGAUGUGGAGGAACACCGAUGGCGAAGGCAGCCCCCUGGGUCAAGAUUGACGCUCAUGCACGAAAGCGUGGGGAGCAAACAGG
rnacentral:rRNA from 1 species